CUGUAAGCCUGUGAAGGUGUACUGUGAGGUAUGCUGGAGGUAUCAGAAGUGCGAAUGCUGACAUAAGUAACGAUAAAGCGGGUGAAAAGCCCGCUCGCCGGAAGACCAAGGGUUCCUGUCCAACGUUAAUCGGGGCAGGGUGAGUCGACCCCUAAGGCGAGGCCGAAAGGCGUAGUCGAUGGGAAACAGGUUAAUAUUCCUGUACUUGGUGUUACUGCGAAGGGGGGACGGAGAAGGCUAUGUUGGCCGGGCGACGGUUGUCCCGGUUUAAGCGUGUAGGCUGGUUUUCCAGGCAAAUCCGGAAAAUCAAGGCUGAGGCGUGAUGACGAGGCACUACGGUGCUGAAGCAACAAAUGCCCUGCUUCCAGGAAAAGCCUCUAAGCAUCAGGUAACAUCAAAUC
rnacentral:rRNA from 1 species